AGUGAACGCUGGCGGUAGGCCUAACACAUGCAAGUCGAACGGCAGCACAGUAAGAGCUUGCUCUUACGGGUGGCGAGUGGCGGACGGGUGAGGAAUACAUCGGAAUCUACUUUUUCGUGGGGGAUAACGUAGGGAAACUUACGCUAAUACCGCAUACGACCUACGGGUGAAAGCAGGGGAUCUUCGGACCUUGCGCGAUUGAAUGAGCCGAUGUCGGAUUAGCUAGUUGGCGGGGUAAAGGCCCACCAAGGCGACGAUCCGUAGCUGGUCUGAGAGGAUGAUCAGCCACACUGGAACUGAGACACGGACCAGACUCCUACGGGAGGCAGCAGUGGGGAAUAUUGGACAAUGGGCGCAAGCCUGAUCCAGCCAUACCGCGUGGGUGAAGAAAGCCUUCGGGUUGUAAAGCCCUUUUGUUGGGAAAGAAAAGCAGCAGGUUAAUACCCCGCUGUUCUGACGGUACCCAAAGAAUAAGCACCGGCUAACUUCGUG
rnacentral:rRNA from 1 species